GACUCUGAGCAGUGGAUCACUGGGCUCAUGCAUUGAUGAAGAAUGUAGCUAGCUGUGAGAACUAAUGUGAAUUGCAGGACAUAUUGAUCAACAAUACUUAGAAUGCACUUUGCCGCACCGGGUUACACCCGGGGCUACACCUGUCUGAGGGUUC